GCCCGCCUAGCUCAAUCGGAUAGAGCGUCAGACUCUUACUACAUGUACUAGGCAGGUAUCUGAAGGCUGCGAGUUCGACCCUCGCGGUGGGCU